rnacentral:lncRNA from 1 species
UAACUCUACUAACUACUGAGAUAAAAACAUGAAGUAAUAUAAUAUGUCCCUGGAUAAUGAGGACUCACCACUGCUACUGUACUGGUGAUAAUCUGAGAAUCUAGGUGCGAUCUAGGAAAUAAGCGUCAACACCUAUGAUAUAAGACAUUAUAGCACAAAGAAAAGGUAUGCGAUCAGUACUUUGAAUGUAUUGAUAUGUUAAAUGAGGUAGGAUGAUAUGCAUGGUCUCAUGAAUAGGAAUGAUAAUAAUUAACUGGACAUACAAGUAAACCAUGGAGUACUGAAUAAAGAGCAUGAAAUCUGUAGAUACUGACAAUGCAGGAAAAUCUGUAAAUACUGUGGAUGCAUGACCAAGCAUAUAAUAUGAACUGAGUAAAAUUUGUAAAUUGAUAUACUGAGAUAACUAAAACCUGUAUACUUUGGUAAAACAACACUAAGACUGAAUAACUGAGCUGGGACUAUAACUGAGACUAUAUCUAAGAAUGUGGGAGGGAUAAUCUAACCGACAUUCCCUAAUUUAAGCUAAUCGAGGUCCAAUCUGUAACACCAGUUGGAAGGGUGUUAAUACCGUGCCGUGGAUACUAGCGAUGGCUAUGUGGAUCCACUAAACUGAUAUAAUAUCCAAAGGACUAAAGGUGUUAAGCCUGAACUAACGGGUGACCUCUGCGAGAUAGUUAAGCCUAGUCUGACGGGUGACUACUCAUAUCCUACUCUGGCUACGUAGUUUUGGAGUACAGGGACUGCUACUAACAAAUCUGUCUAUCUGACAGGGAAGCUGCUAUCCCUACACUUGCUCGGUGCUAAAUCCUACUCCCAACUGAAAGACACUGACAUACUAGACUGUUCUGAGUUGAAUAAUUGAUAUCUGACUAUUUUGAUACUGCUCAUAAUAUAAUUUGAAGACAAUUCUGUAAUGUACUGAGGCUAGACUAAAUAAACAGCUAUGGUUUUUGGGUAUUCAAUGCCCCCAGGACUCAAAACAACUAUACUGAAAAGACACUAAAGCUUGAAGGCCAAAACAUGAAGGCUCUUAUUAAAUAAAUCACUCUUGUAGGCAUUUUAUCAAACACUUGUAGUUCAUGGUUUUAAAACAAUCAUAGGAAUGUCAUGGAACUUAUAGGAAUAGCAUGAAUUCAUCAUAAAAACAUUAAAUCAUGGUUUAAUUCAAUAAAUAAUAAUAGUAAAAUAUGGAGGAAUGAAUAAUAACAAUAAUUUCAUGGUAACAUGGUAUAGAAUCAUAGUUCAUGGAGAUUCAUGGGUGAAAUCCCAAUUUAAAACAUAAUAACUUGAAAAGAUCACAAUUUUAUAAUUUUAAAAGGUUGCUUAGACUCCGUGGAUGAAAGGGAUCGAUGGAUGAACAUCUAACAUACCUGGGAUGAUGAAUUUGGAAGGAUUGAUAGAGAGUUCAUGAGAUUUGACCUUGAUUCUUGAGAGCUAGGGUUCUUGUUCUUGAAAAAGGGGAUUUUUAAUUUGAGAAAAAGUGAAUUAUGAUGAGUAUUUAGGUUAAUUAGGGGUUAAAAAUUUCGCAUUUAGGGCGAGUUUAGGGCUUAGAAAAAAGACCCAAAUACCCUUAAAUGAAUUUAGAAACACAAGCUAGAAACUGAAAUCCUGAUUUUUGGCCUUGGCGCGCGGCACCACUAUCACGCCAAACCACUGGAAAAGGGACAACUGGGACCUGGACAAACGCCGCGAUAUGCCACUAUCACGGUAAGCUUGUGGAUGCCAUUUUUGCCAUCUCUGCGAUGCUCCAUGAUCGUGGAGGCCCAUUGGAAAUUGACAAAUGGGAAAUUGGCCUGCUCCGCGAUGUGCUAUGAUCACGGAGUCACACUAACAAUUGAUAAUUGUCAAAUUGACCUAUGGCGUGAUGCUUCAGGAUUGCGGACCCUCACUGGAUUUUGCCAAAUAGGAGAUUGGACUACUCCGCGACACGCUAGAAGUUAAAAUGAUGGGGUUUUACGAUUGAAACUUAAAAUCACCAUAACUUCUUACCCGGUUAUCGUCUUUGGGCGAAUUUUAUAUCAUUAUAAAACUAAUUGACUUUCCUAUGCAAUGGAAGGCUCUAAACUAAAAAAUAAUGAGUAUUUCAAAAUUUUCAUAUAUGAAUACUCAUGUAUUGGGACAUAGAUUAUGCUAGAAAAAUACGGGGUGUUACAAUAUCUCCCCCUUGGGAUCAUUCGUCCCUGAAUGAAACUGGUUAAGCUGAGGGAACUGAUGGACUGAGCUUACAUACUGAAUAUACAUGUUUGAUGCAUGGAAUGCAUGACUAAACUGAUUCAUGAAUGCACGACUGACAUGAACACGAUGUGCUGCUGAAACUGAGCAUGACAGAAAAAAAAUCUUAAGAAGAUUGGUACCUUAUACUGAACCUGGAUUUGCAGAGAAAAAAUGAGGGUACUCGGUCCGCAUAUCUGCUUUUUCUUUCCAAGUGGCUCCCUCAACGGACUGAUUCCGCCAAAGAACUUUGACUAGUGAAACUUCUUUCUUCCUUAGUCUAUGAACUUGAUGAUUAAGAAUUUUGACUGGAACUUUCUCAAUGGAAAGACUCUUCUGAAUAUCUAUACUUUUUAAGUGAAUAACUACAGCUGGAUCACCAAUACACUUUUUCAACAAUGAGACAUUGAACACUGGGUGUACUGAGGUUAAAUUUGAGGGCAACUCUAGCUCUUAAGCUACCUUUCCAAAACGACUGAGGAUUCUGAAGGGACCGACAUAUCGGGGACUGAGUUUUUCUUUCUAGCCGAAUCUCCUCACUCUCUUCUUGGGAGAGAUUUUUAAGAACACAAAAUCACCAACCUCAAACUCGAGAUCCUUUCUCGUCACAUCUGCAUAUGAUUUGUAUCGGCUUUGGGCAGCCCUAAGUCUUUCUCUGAUCAACUGAACCUUUUCUAACGUAUCAAACACCAAGUCAGGCCCUACAACUGCGGCCUCACCUACUUCAAACCAACCAAUUGGAGAUCUACAUCUCCUACCAUAGAGAGCCUCAAACGAAGCCAUACGAAUACUAGAAUGAUAGCUGUUAUUGUAUGAGAAUUCAAUCAAAGACAAAUGGUCAUCCCAACUACCCUUAAAAUCAAUAAUGCAUGCUCUCAGCAUAUCCUCAUAAGUCUAAAUGGUCCUUUUUGCUUGACCAUAUGUAUGAGGGUGGAAGGUUGUACUGAGGUGGACUUGGGUACCAAGACCUUUUUGGAACGCUUUCCAGAAGUGAGAGGUAAACUGAGUACCUCUAUCUGAGAUGAUCAAUAAGGGAACACCGUGCAACCUAACCAACUCUUUGAGAUAGAGACUGGCAUAGUCCUCGACGGAGUAAGAGGUAUGGAUUGGCAAGAAAUGAGUUGAUUUGGUCAUCCUGUCUACGAUUACCCAAAUAGAGUCGUGCUGAUAAUAGGUACGAGGCAAACCUGUCAUAAAGUCCAUGUUCAUUUCCUUCCAUUUCCAUAUGGGAAUAUUGAACUCCUGUAUGAACUCACUAGGCUUCUGGUGCUCAACCUUAACUUACUGGCAUGUAGAGCACUUAGCUACAAACUCUGUAAUAUCUCUCUUCAUCCCACUCCACCAAUAGAUCUCCCAUAAAUCGUGGUACAUCUUAGUGGCCCAUGGAUGAAUAGAGUACUGCACCAUGCACUUCUGCAAGAAUUCAUUGCCUCAACUCAUCUACACCAGGCAUACACAAUCUACCCUGACAAUGCAAAACACCAUCUCCCUCUUGGGAGAAAACCUCUAUUUUCUGAUCUCUGAUUGAUUCUUUCAACUUAACUAAACUAGGAUAUCUAUCCUGCUUUUUCUUCACCUCAGUAACUAGAGAUGAUUCUGAGCUACUCUACACCCAUACACUACCUUCUGCUGAAUUGACUAAGCGAAUACCUAGUCGGGCAAGCUGAUGAGUUAUACUACCCAUAGACAUUCUACUGAGAGCAUCAGCCACUACAUUGGCCUUGCCCGGAUGAUACAGAAAACUCAUGUCAUAAUCCUUCAAUAACUCUAACCAUCUUCUCUGAUGCAAAUUCAAAUCUUUCUAAGAGAACACAUAGUGAAGGCUUCUGUGAUCUGUGAACACAUCUACAUGCACCCCAUACAAGUAAUGCCUCCAAAUCUGUAAGGCGAAUACUACCUCUACUAGCUCAAGAUCAUGAGUUGAAUAAUUCUUUUCAUGAGGUUUAAGCUGUUUGGAGGCGUAUGCUAUGACCUUACCUCUCUGCAUGAGGACACAACCCAAACCUACUCUGGGUGCAUCACAGUACACAAUAAAACUAUCUAAACUAUCUGGUAGAGUAAGAACUAGGGCUGACAUGAGUCGAGUCUUCAACUCCUGAAAAAUUAUCUUGUAUGAAUCUGACCACUGAAACUUAACUUUCUUCUGAGUCAAUCUGGACAUGGGGGAUGCAAUAAAAGAAAACCCUUCAACAAACCGACGGUAAUAGCUAGCUAAACCCAAGAAACUCCUAAUAUCUGAUGGAGAGAAGGAUCUAGGCUAGUUUCUCACCGCAUCGGUCUUUUGAGGAUUAACUCUAAUGCCAUCACCAAAAAUAAUAUGGCCAAGGAAAGCUACUGAUCUUAGCCAGAAUUCACACUUAUUGAAUUUAGCGAACAACUGAUGGGCUCUAAGAGUUUGCAACACUAUUCUGAGAUGGUCUGCAUGAUCAUUUUUGCUAUGGGAGUAAAAAGAAAUAUCAUCAAUGAAUACUAGGACAAACAUGUCCAAGUACUGCUUGAACACUUAGUUCAUCAAGUCCAUGAAGUCUGCUGGGGCAUUAGUAAGACCAAAGGACAUGACUAGAAAUUCAAAGUGACCAUACUGAGUUUGAAAAGCUAUUUUUAGAAUAUCACAUUCUCUGACUCUAAGCUGAUAAUAGACUGAUCUGAGGUCUAUCUUGGUAAAGUAACUGGCACCCUGAAGUUGACCGAAUAAGUCAUCGAUUCUAAGAAGUGGAUAUUUAUUCUUGACUGUGACCUUGUUCAACUGAUGGUAAUUUAUGCACAUUCUGAGAGAACCAUCUUUCUUACGCACGAAUAGAAUAGGUGUGUCCUACGGGGAGACACUAGGCCUGAUGAAUCCCUUAUCUAAGAGAUCCUUCAACUGUUCUUUCAGUUCUUUGAGUUUAGCUGGAGCCAUUCUGUAUGGCAAAAUAGAUAUAGGUUGAGUAUUUGGGAAAAGGCCUAUUCUGAAGUCGAUUUCCUUUUCGGGAGAAACUCCGGGAAGAUCUUUAGAAAAUAUAUCUAAGAAUUCAUCUACUACUGGAACUAACUCAAGAGCUGGAGUUUCUGAGUUAGAGUCUUUGACUCGUACAAGAUAGUAGACACAUCUCUUGGAUAUCUUCUUUCUGGCUCUAAGGUAUGAAAUCAACUGACCCCUAAGAGUUGUAGUACUACCUCUCUUUGGGAUGGUUCAUUUGGGAACUAAAAAUUAACUAUUCUAUUUCUACAAUUAACUGGGCAUAGCAUGAGUGGAGCCAAUCCGUGUUGAGAAUGACGUCACAAUCAAUCAUCUCUAACUCCACGAGAUCAACUAAGGUAAAUUUUUGAGAUAUUGUGACCGGAAAGUUCCUAUAUACCUGUCAGGCUACAAUGGAAACGCCUACUGGGUAGACACUGAAAAGGGCUCUGCUAGAGUUUCGGGACUGACUCCGAAAUUAACAGCUAUAUAUGGAGUUACAAAAGAACGAGAAGCUCCAGGGUCUAGUAAAGCAUAAAUAUGUAAGUGAAAGACCUACAACGUACCAGUAACUACGUCAGGAAAAUUUUCCAGAUCUUAGCACGAAUGAAGAGCAUAUAAUCUGUUCAGAUGCUGACCACUGGUAGCACUGAAAGCAGCACCCUGUUGAGUUGGGUGGUCAAUGGAACUGAUGACUAAUGGGACUGGCCCUACUGGCGCUCAUCCCUACCUUUCUGAGCAACUACCUGACACUCUCGAAUCUGAGGCCUGGAUUACCACACUCGAAGCACACAUCACUACCUGCUCUACACUCACCCUGAUGGUGUCUGUCAUACUUCUAACAUAAAGGAUUAGUACGAGCACUGCUAACACUGACCUAGGACUUAGAGCCUGGUACUCUAUCUCUAUUGUCAUUUCUGAAUUUGGGUACUGGGGCACUGGCUAAAGAAGGUACUGGGGCUAGAUACAUCUGAGGAAAUUGAGAAAAGUUACCACCUUAUGACUUUGGCUAAUUGAAAUUAAAACUAUCCAUCCUAGCUCUCUUGUUUCCUCUCUUCCUCUCCUUAAUCUUUUGCUACUCUAUUUGUUGAGCAUGGACUAUUAGCCUAUACAAAUCCAUCUUACUAAUCAACAUUGCGGUCCAACACUCCUUGACCACACUAUCAGAUACGCCAGGCAUAAACUUACUCAUCUUUGACCUACUACCAGCUAGCACAUGAGGAGCUUAUCUAGCUAACUAAGUGAACUUAAGAGAAUACUCCCUCACACUCAUUGUACCUUGCCUCAAAUUAAUAAAUUCUAACACUUUGUCCUUCCUCAACUCUAAUGGAAAGAAUCUAUCCAAGAAAGUAGUGGCAAACUCUUCCCAUUCUAUAGGUCCUAUAUCAAUAACUCUAUCAACUUUCCACUGCUUAAACCAAGUAUGGGCUAUAUCCUGCAAUUCAUAUGCAGCCAACUCGACACUCGGACUAGACGUCACCACCAUAACAUCCGUGACCUUUUGAACCAUAUGUAAGAAUUUUUGUGGAUCCUCUUCAAAGUUGGAUCCCUUGAAAGAAGGAGGAUUCAUCUGAGUAAAAUCCUAAAUUCUGGUAGCAGUAGUAUUGGCCACUGGAUUGGACAAAACAUCAGCUGGUCGUUUAUUUUGUGCUGCUACUGAAUUGGCUAGAGUAGUGAACGCAACCCUGAAUUCUGUGUGAGAGACAUGCUUGUACAGAGGAUAUUUUUAGAUGAGCUAAGGGGUUGGCUGAGUUCUUAUUCUUCUUUCGUUCUUUUUGGGAGUCACACGGAAGGAAAAAAUGAAUUAGAUUGAGAGUUUAACUUGGGCUAAUGCUCACUCGCAUGACAUGAAUACUGAAAAAAGGGAAACUUUUUCCUAAACGUCUUAUAGCCUCUCGACCAUAAGUGUGGCGCGAUACACACCCAUGCACAAGACUCACCUCGAUGUGGCUUUCAGACUUCCUAAGACACUUUAAAACUUUAGGCUCUGAUACCAAGUUUGUAACGACCCGAGACUACCCUCUAGUCGUUACACGGUACUUACAGUCCAAAGAGAUCACAAGCUAACCGAUGAGCUGGUACCUGCUAUGAGCACUAAAUAAUAUAAUCAUGAAUGCAGAAGAAUAACUGAAAUGCCAUAAGGUUUUAAUAAUGAAAUAACUAAUGAAUUAUGAAUCUGAUAAAAAUAGUAAAAUCUGAAUAGUCUGAAUAACUAAUUGUAGUGUCUGAAAAGCCUCUAAACUGAAUACUAUGAGUUGAUGGGAUAGGCCCCAACUAACUCUACUAACUACUGAGAUAAAGACAUGAAGUAAUAUAAUCUGUCCCCAGAUGAUGAGGACUCACCACUGCUACUGUACUAUUGAUAAUCUAAGAAUCUAGGUGCGAUCCAGGAACUGAGCAUCAACACCUAUGAUAUGAGACAUCAUAGAGCAAAGAAAAGGUAUGCGAUCAGUACUUUGAAUAUACUAGUAUGCUAAAUAAGGUAGGUUGAUAUGCAUGGUCUUAUGAAUAUAAAUGAUAAUAGUUAACUGGACAUACAUGUAAAGCAUGGAGUACUGAAUAAAGAGCAUGAAAUCUGUAGAUACUGACAAUGCAGGAAAAUCUGUAAAUAAUGUGGAUGCAUGAUCAAGCAUAUAACAUGAACUGAGUAAAAUUUGUAAAAUGAUAUACUAAGAUAACUGAAACCUGUAUGCUUUGUUCAAAAAACACUAAGACUGAAUAACUAAGAUGGGACUGUAACUGAGACUAUAUCUGAGACUGUAGGAGGUAUUAUCUAACCGAUAUUUCCUAAUUUGAGCUAAUAGGUUGGAAGGGUGUUAGCACCGUGCCACGGGUACUAAAGAUGGCUGUAUGGAUCCACUAAACUGAUAUAAUGUCCAAAGGACUAAGGGUGUCAAGACUGAACUGACGGGUGACCCCUACAAGAUAGUCAAGCCUGGUCUGACGGGUGACUAUUUAUAUCCUACGAUGGCUAUGUAGUUCUAGAGUAUAGGUACUGCUACUAAUGACUCUGUUUAUGUGAUAGAGAAGUCAUCAUCCCUACACUUGCUCGGUGCUAAAUCCUACUCCCAACUGAAAGACACUGAGAUACUAGAUUGUUCUGAGUUAAAUAAUUUAUAUCUGACUAUUUUGAUAAUGCUCAUAAUAUAAUCUGAAGAGUAUUCUGUAAUGUACUGAGGCUAGAUUAAAUAAACAGCUAUGGUUUUUGGGUAUUCAAUACCCUCAGGACUCAAAGCAAUAAUACUACAAAGAUACUAAAGCUUGAAGGUCAAAACAUGAAGGCUCUUAUUAAAUAAAUCACUCUUUUAGGCAUUUUAUCAAACACUUGUAGUUCAUGGUUUUAAAACAAUCAUAGAAAUGUCAUGGAACUUGUAGGAAUAGCAUGAAUUCAUCAUAAUAGCAUUAAAUCAUGGUUUAAUUCAAUAAAUAAUAAUAUUAAAGCAUGGAAGAUUGAAUAAUAACAAUAAUUUCAUGGUAACAAGGUAUAGAAUCAUAGUUCAUGGAGUUUCAUGGGUGAAAUCCCAAUUUAAAACACAAUAACUUGAAAAGACCAUAAUUUUAUAAUUUAAAAAGGUUGCUUGGACUCCGUGGAUGAAAGAGAUCCAUGGAUGAAUAUCUAACAUACCUGGGAUGAUGAAUUUGGAAGGAUUGAUGGAGAGUUCUUGAGAUUUGGCCUUGAUUCUUGAGAGCUAAGGUUUCUUGUUCUUGAAAGAGGGGAUUUUUAAUUUGAGGAAAAAUGAAUAAUGAUGAGUAUUUAAGUCAAUUAGGUAUUAAAUUUCGUGUUUAGAGAGAGGUUAAGGCUUAUGAAAAAUACCCAAAUACCUUUAAAUGAAUUUAAAAACACAAGCUGGAAACUGAAAUCUCGAUUUUUGGCCUUGGUGCAACGCGCCACUAUCGCACCAAGCCACCGAAAAAGGGACAACUGGGAUCUGGACAAACGCCGUGAUACGCCACCAUCGCUGUAAGCCUGUGGAUGCCAUUUUGGCCAUCUUCACAACGUGCCAUGAUCGCGGAGGCCCAUUGAAAAUUAACAAACGAGAAAUUGGCCUGCUUUACGUGCGCCAUGAUCGUGGAGUCAUACGGAAAAUCGACAAUUGUCAAAUUGACCUAUAGUACGAUGCGCCAGGAUUGCGGACCCUCACUAGAUUUUUCCAAAUGGGAUAUUGGCCUGGUCUGCAACGCGCUAGAGGUUAAAAUGACGGGGUUUUGCAAUUGAAACUUAAAAUCACCAUAACUUCUUACCCGGUUAUCGGAUUUGGAUGAAUUUUAUAUCAUUGGUAAACUAAUUGAAUUUUUUAUGUAAUGGAAGGCUCUAAACUAAAAAAUAAUGAGUAUUUUAAAAAUUUCAUAUACUAAUACUCAUGUAUUGGGACUUAGAUUAUGCUAGGAAAAUACGGGGUGUUACAAUUAUCCGAACUUUUAAAUGAAAUGCAUUGUUGGCCCUCAAGAUCCAGUUGAAGAUGAUAUGCACUUGGAUUCAUUUCAUUAAUAGGGAAUGCAAAUAUUCUCCAUGAAGCCUCAGGUGGUGAUACCCACCUAGCUGUUUGAUAUUCUUUUAUCUCAUCUAUCUCUAUAUUUGUAUCAUUUGAAUGUAUAUAAAAUCCUAUUUUAUCAUGUCCUUUGCAAAUGUACUUAUAAAUAUAUUUGACAAUUUUAAUGUGUGAGAAAAUCUCUACAUUGAUAUGACAAUUGAAUUUACAAAGUAAAACUGGAUUAUAAGGAACAACCCAUGUAUUAUCAAGAAAGUGUCCUCUAAUUUUAUCAGUUUUCUUGUAUUUCAUCUUCUAUAUAUUCGGUAUGAAUUUUUCUCUUUAUUUGUUUGUUAUGCAAAAUCCCUAGGAUACUUAAACUUACAGUAACUCUUUUUCUUCAUACAAGAAUUUGUUGGAUUCAAAGUACCACAUGGACCAUGCAUCAUGUGUUGUGUAACAAGAGAGUAUAGAUAGGGAUUUGUUUCCUCAUCAGGCAACUCAGCACACACAAAUCAAUCAUAUUCUUCGGGAGUUAGUAAUUUGUAAUUCUUAUCAAGUAUGAUAAGAAAAUAAGCAUGCAGAAGUCCUCGUUUUUGAAAUUCCACUAUAUACAUAAAUGCUGCAACUUUUUCAAAUAUAUGUCUUUUCAGAAUAUCUUUUUUCAAUUCUUCUAACUUUUCUCUAACUUCUCGGCUAAGCAGAUCAGGUUUAUUUUGUGCUUCACCUGUUGGCAAGAGAUUUUUUUCUAUUUCAGACCAAGAGGGAUUACAUGUCAUAGUCAGAAAUAUAUAUGAUUUUUCAAAACGUUGUACUAAUGCGAUAGCAUCCAUAUAUCGUCGACGCAUAUCCCUUGGGCCUCCUAUAAAGCUUAGAGGAAUUAUGCAUUAUUUUUUUAUUUUUGACGCUUUUCUUUAUCCACGUUGUAAGACAUCUAAGAUUCCUUCUAAUAUAUCUACUCUAAAUAAAUCUUGAUUAAAAAAUGCAAAGUUUAAUCUUUGACUUUCAAUUUUUAUCUAUUCAUCUACUAUGUAUUGCUGGAAUAAUCUUCCUGAAUGUAAGAUUAUAUUUACAUCAUCUCUUAUUUAUAGUUCGUAACAAUAAUAUUCACGACAAGAAACAGUGUCUCUUUUUCGCUUUCCUUUUUGCAUUACUUCAGCUUCCAUAUUAAGAAGUUCAUUGAUUGAAGACAUAUUCAUUACAUUUGGUAAUUGUUCUUGCUCAUAAUAUAUUCGAGUACAUGUGAUAGAAGAGUGCUUAAUUUUUUUAAUACCACAAUGCCAGCCAUUUUGACCGUAUGAAUAUAACAGAGGAUAUUGCAAAGGAUCAUAAUAGCCAUAAUAAUGACUUUUAUUAGUUUUCGUAUAUAUUCAGAUAUGUGGUGUAGAAAUAGAAUUAUUAAUAUCUUGUUCAACCCAUAUGCCUGCAACUUCAGUUACAGUCAGUAAGUUAUAUAUUUGCUGACCUAAACCAGAAUCACACUUAAGUGCAAUAUAAAAAUCAGAUAGAUGAGGAACAUCAAUCAAAGAUUUUAAAAAACAUUGAGUAUGGAUUGUUUUUUAAUAUGUCCAUCAAGUUUCUAACAAUACACUCAUUUAGUUUAUUUGAACAUGCCAUUCAAUUUCUUACUUCAUUUUCACUAUCAAAGAAAUAUAACUGUAAAUUUUUACCUUUUUGAUCCACGGGAAUCAGGUCAUUAAUGAGAUGAUACAUUUGUCCUUGAACCUGAAAAGUAUAAAUAUCUUUGUUUCUUUUUGCUAACUCUUUGUCAUAAGAUACUCCGAGAGAGGUAAAUGCAAAUAUAUUAUUGUAUGUUCUAAUAUAAGUUCGAAAUUAUUUUGAUUCCUCUGUAUUUUGUAGAUAAAGUUUUUUCAAUUUUAUUGAAAUUUCAUGUGCAGUUAAUUGAAUAGAACCAUUGUUACAACAAAAUGCAGGAGACUCAAAUUCAAAUCUUUUUGCUUUACAGAAUUUACAUUUUGGAACAUCUUUUAAUUUUAUAUAACUCAUUUGUAAUUACGUAAUAGUUGAGCAUCUAGGUUCUGUGAAACCAUGCCCUGUAGUUGACAAAUCCCAAAUAGGACAUACUGAUUUUAGUAUAUGAUAUUAUUGUUAAUAAAAAUUAUUAAAUAGUUUUUGUGUAAUUACUACUAAUUACCUUAUUUAUAUAUACCUGUUUCGAAUGGAAUUGUUGAUUCUUUUUUGAGAAAAUAUCUUUGUUCAGUAGUCACAUUAAUAGAAUUGAAAGACGAUGCCAAAACUGAAUCAUUGUUUGCUGAAUUUUCAGACAAUCGUCAUCUUUUUAACUCUGCUCUUCUUGCUCGUCGAUGUGUCAAAAGAACCUUUUUUUUUUCUCAUUUGUCAUUAAUCUAUAUAAUUCACGUCUUCUAGUAUUUUUAUCAGCAUUUAAUUUUUUGAUUGUUUGAUCAGUUUUAGAAUCUUCAGUACACGACAUUUUUUGCGGUCCAAAUAUUUUUUAUGAAUUCUUGAAAGAAUAAAAAAAAAAUUAAAUUUUAGUACAUAUUCGUACCAAGUAAUAAUUACAUUUGUGUAAGGCAUGUGACUUUAUAAAAAAAAUAAAAGAUAAUAGAGAAAGAUAAACAUUUCAUACUUUAUAUUAUAAAGGAAUCAUGGCAAAAAAAUAUUUGCAAUUCAAUAUAGUAAUUUAAGUAAGUUGAACUUACCACACAAUCAAAUGUAGAUACAGACACAAAGAUAGCUAUCACCAAAGAGAUGAAAUUGCAAAGUAGACAGUUGGAAAUGUAUACAUUAGCUUAUAAUUUUUAAAAAAAUAUUCAAAAUAUACCGAAGAAAAAAUUAGUCUAAUUAGUCUAUCUUAAUGAGCAGAUCUAAUCUUACCAUCAUUGAACUAACCUCUUUUUUUUAUACAAGCAGAUUCUGAAAUUAAAAUAUAUAUAUAUAUAUAUAUAUAUUUUAUACCAAAAAACGUAUACGUACAACCAAAGCACAUAAAAAUUUUGUGAUGGAAUAAUUAAAUAUCCCUUAAAAAAAGAAUAAGAAUUGAAUUUCUAUUCUGAGAGGAGAAAUAAAUAUAAAUAUAUAAACAAAGAAAGAUAUAAAAACUUACAAGUUUACGAGAGAAGAGCACUUUUUUUUUGGGGUGGGGUGGGGUGAGAAAAGAUGAGUGAGCAAUAUGGAGAGUGUAUUUAUUUGUCUCAUCAGUUCUGAAAUCUGUCAAAUGCGGUACUUGAUUUAUUAUUUUUCAUGUGGUGGAAAUAAUGGAUACAUG